rnacentral:lncRNA from 1 species
UUGGAUAUCUCAUUGUUGUAUGUCCUUACGAGCGGCAAUGAUUUUCUUGCUAUUCAAUGCCUUUUGCAACUUUAAAAUUUUCUCUUUGAUGUUGCGGAGUUCGUCUGGAAAUUGCAAUGUCCGCUCGGACCUCAUCCAUCCAAAUUUUCUGCACUUAAUCAGGGACUCCAAGGUGCAGAUUUCUCCAUGAACAGAGUCAAGCUGACGACGAUAUACGAUCAACUUUGUCGCCACACCCUAGGACAGCUUUCUUGCUGCGUCGGAUAUCCUCUGCAUCUUUUCGGCCAAUCGUGCCUUCUUGACGCUGCAUGCUACAGCUCCUCGUCGAACCUUCUGUUGAAGGCUACCAACUUCUUUCUCGACCUCAUCAAGUUUUUUUUGAGCCUUUCGUAGUCUCUUUCUCCGAUUGGCGAUUUUUCUUUCGAAAAAUUUGAAUUUCUUCUCCAGGCUUUUAAUGUGAGCUUUAAUCUUGAUCGCCAUCACAGGAGGAAAAAGACUGGCCAGUAAAGGAGCAGCAGCUAUCGGGCUGACGUCACAAGCAUUAUUCACCAACUAUGCAAACAAUUAAAGAUGGUAAAUUCAAAAAAGCUCAUAAUUUUAUUUCAUUAAACGAAAAUUUUUUAUUGAGACAAAAGAGGGAACAAAAAGUACAAGUAUUUAAUCCCCAAUC